UUAUUUCACUACCAGAAAACGGAUCUUUAGUCCCGGUUGGAUAGGAUCAUAGAUCCCGAAAAUCCAAUCGGGACUAAGUUUUGGAGAUAAAAGGGGAUCUAAAGACCCCCUUUAGUCACGGUUGGUACUACCAGCCGGGACUAAAAAGGUUAAAAAAAUAAAAAAAAGUGGGCCGGCGGCGCGACGGCGCGGCCGCCACCCACCUCCACCACGCCC
rnacentral:lncRNA from 1 species